rnacentral:rRNA from 1 species
CCUACGGGAGGCAGCAGUGAGGAAUAUUGGUCAAUGGACGAGAGUCUGAACCAGCCAAGUAGCGUGAAGGAUGACUGCCCUAUGGGUUGUAAACUUCUUUUAUAUGGGAAUAAAAUGUUCCACGUGUGGGAUUUUGUAUGUACCAUAUGAAUAAGGAUCGGCUAACUCCGUGCCAGCAGCCGCGGUAAUACGGAGGAUCCGAGCGUUAUCCGGAUUUAUUGGGUUUAAAGGGAGCGUAGGUGGAUUGUUAAGUCAGUGGUGAAAGGUUGCGGCUCAACCGUAAAAUUGCAGUUGAAACUGGCAGUCUAGAGUACAGUAGAGGUGGGCGGAAUUCGUGGUGUAGCGGUGAAAUGCUUAGAUAUCACGAAGAACUCCGAUUGCGAAGGCAGCUCCCUGGACUGCAACUGACACUGAGGCUCGAAAGUGUGGGGAUCAAACGGGAUUAGAUACCCUAGUAGUC